AUCUACUUAGCUUAAAAUUUUGAGUUACUUUGGAAAAGAAAUUUUUAAGUUAAGAUAAGCUUUUGAUGAUUGUUUUAUACAAGUAGAUUAUUGGUUUUGGGAAUGAAAUGUUUGAACUAGCCAUGUUUUAUUGAGAGGCCGAGGCAUGUUAGCAUGUAUAGUAUAUCUAUUAUGCUUCUUUUCAAAAUUUUGAUGCUAUUUUAAAAAGAGAAUGAUCUUGGUUUAGAAGAAAACAAUUAAUUAUUUAGUAACUCAAUUAAAUUUGCUUUGUUUGGAGAUGAAACUAGAAACUUUUUAUUUAGUAACCAAGCUAAAACUCUUGAGUUAGAAUGUUAUUGCAUAGCGUUUUACAGUAGGCUUGGAGUUAUCCAAUGUUACAACAAAUGAAUAAUGUUCCUUUGGGAAUAUUGAGAUAUUCUCAUGACUUUUCACUUUUCAGGUACUAAAAUGAGGUGGUGAAGGAAGAUACUCAUUGGAGUGGAUUAGAUAUAGCACACUCUUUAAUUUCAAAUAUUAUAAUCAUGAAUCAUAGUUUUAUAGGAAUAUAAGAGUAACAAUCUCGCUUUUGCUUAUGUAACUUACCAAUGUUGAUGCUUUCAGCAAAUUGAAUCGAUUAUGGAGCAAUUGAAGGCACUGAGAUUUAGUUCAUUAAUUAUAACACAGGUUUGACACAAUGUAUUUUUGUUUUCCAGUUCUGUAGUUUUUUAUGUACAGUUUUGACACAAUGUACAAAGUUAUUUUGACAUUAUAAAUUUUUGGUGCUAGCCUUUUGACAAUCUAGUAAUAAGUGUUGGAAUUUGUCUUUAUUAUGAUGUUUUGUAUUUUGGAUUACAAUGUGGUUGUACUUUAAUGACAUUAUUACUAUAUA